rnacentral:lncRNA from 1 species
AAUUGAGAAAUUGAUAAAAAGUUGAAUUUAGAUUAACUUUGAUUUAUUGUUGUUUUGUUUAAUGUGUAAUGAGCAUGAAUAUUGUUGGAAUGUGAUAGAAUUAUGAUAUGUUGAAAUGAAUAGGCAAAUGUCGGUUUGGGUAGGCAAAACUUAGGAGUGAUGUGUUUAUUAAAUGUUUUAAAUGAUUAAUGUGCGUGUGAAUGUUUGGUUUCUAGUUUAUCGUGUUUAAUUCAAAUGUAUUUAUUUAACCGGAAAAUGCCCUGAGAGACAAUAUAUUUAUUCAACGGGGAAUGCCCCGACGUACUAUGUUAGCGGAAAACGUUCGUGAGGAAGUCCUGAGGCGUCGGGUAAAGAACGGGAGCGUAGUUUGUAUUAGUGUAGGUUAAAUAGGAUUUAUAUUUUGCAUUUUUCUAUUUUGGACUGUAUAAAUUGGAUAGGACACUGUACUUUUGAUUCGCUUUUUGUUUUAUUUGUUUGUUUGAUUGUUUUACGUCUUUUGUGUGGUUUGUAUAUUUGCAGUGUUAAAAUUAGCCGAUACGCUCCACCAAGUGACCGUGGUCGAACCGCAGGAUCGAGGGGUGCCUAACACCUUCCCCUCGGUCAACAGAAUUUCUUAGCCGGAAUCUCUGUUCGCAAACCAGUUUAAUGAGUCAAAUGGCUUUGAAAAGGAUUUCCAAUGGUGACUUGGCACACCAUAUUAUGCCAAGUGGCCACUCUGAGUUUUGAAUGUAAAAGGUCUUUUUCAAAAUAAAUUAUCUUUAUUUUGUCACUUUAAUAAUAAAAACCCUUUCGAACUUAAAAUUGAAAUAUUUUCAGAGUUGAAAAAGGGGUGUGACAGCUCUGGCGACUCUGCUGGGGACCAUUUCAGAAUUCGAGCUUAUUUUUGGAGUUGUAUCGGCUUAGUUUGGCAUUGUGGGUGUAUAGAUGUUGUUUGUGUUGUUUUGUGUUAUUAUUUUUUUCAUUGUUGAGUGUCUGCGUGCUCUUUGUUUACAGUUUUUAUCUAUGUGUUAUCGCUUUAUAUCUGGCAUCAUGUGCAUAACCCGAGUCAUUCUUUCUGCAAUAAGUCCGUAGUGCACGCUGUGUACACGACCUCUAGUUGAGUCACCCUUAUCUUAGGAGGGGGAGCCGUCGGCUGGUAUGGAGUGGGUAAAAAGUUAAAGCAACCACUAUCGACUAUACGCUCCCCCGAACAGCCUUGUUAGUGAACCCCAGCGUAGGUCAACCUUUAGGUCAUGCUUAUCUGCAUCAUAUUAAAACCCAGCGGGACCCACUUGGUCCUUUGUAGGAAACUCACCUCUAAGGCAUCCCUACGUUCUAAAUGUUUCAUCUUUGAAGGUAACGAGUUCAUUUGACAGACUGAUUUGGGCAAAAGCAUCUGUUAGAAGCAAAGUGUGUAGGCAAGAAAUUGUUGAAAAAAAAAGAAGAAAAAAGAGUGAAAAAAAUAGAUUUGGUAGUUUUUAGGGCUCUUUAUGACUUUUGUUUUUCACAAUUCAAAAAAAAAAAAAAAUACUUUUUGCACUCAUUUCCCAAAACAUCAAAAACGUUAAAAAAAAUUCCUUUUAUUUAUUAAGUAUUCACAAUUCAAAAAAUCCAAAAAUAUUUUUUCCUUUCAAUAGGAGCUUUGUACAUUUUUAUAUAACGAAAAUAUCAAAAAGAUUUUUUCUUUCAUAGUUGUUGGUGUUAGUUUCUAAUUAAAAUCUCAAAAAAGAUUUUAUUUUCAUAGUCUGUCUUUAGUCGCGUCUCUCAAUUCAGGAUUUAGUUUGUCAUUUAAUCCUUAAUUGUCCAAUCUGGAUGAACUGCACACCCCUGAUUCUCCUCUCUCGGGAGUGAGAUACGUAGACAGCCUAUUGUUGGUUCGGGGAUCUUAUUUGAAAAAUCCAUAAAGAUUUUCUUUAAUAUCUGUUUAGAGUAAGUGUUGCAUAUACAUUUUUAAAAGAAAACUACAAAAAGAUUUUUCUUAAUAGGUUCAAGUUCCAUUUUCAUAGGAAAUUCAAAAUCGAAAACCCAAAAAGAUUUUCUUUGGUAAUUAUAGAUUUCAUUUUGUAUAAGGAUUUAGACUUGAAAAAUACAAAAAGAUUUUUGUCAAUUCUUUUGACAAUUUGUUAUUUUCUUUUAUUUUCUUUUCUUCUUAAAGUUCCAAGGAAUAGAAAAAGAGUUUAAUUGGCCAUUUUGAUAAGACUUCACGAACUACGCACACCUGAUUCUCCUCUUUCGGGGGUGAGAUACGUAGGCGCCCCUCUUGGGUUCAGUGACCUUUUCAAAAAAAAAAUAAAAAAAAAGGUUUUGAAAAAAAUAAUGUUGAAUUCUAACGCAUUUGUUUUAUCUCUUGUUCAGUUAGUUUAAGGUGGUUGGUUUAUGGCAUUUUGGCUGAUCCUCCAUAUUGCACCAAGUCACAGAGAAAGUUAUGGCUAACAAGGAUAUCGAGUUUGUUAUCACUGAUCAGAUAGGGAGUUCAGGCAAUGAGAAUUUAGGAGCUAAUGAAGAGAUUCAAAAAUUAAGGCAACAAAUGAUAGAAAUGCAUCGAGCUUGGGCUAAUGCGUUGCCACCUCCUCCAUUUCCCGUUGAUAAUCUGGAAUAUCUUUCUAGCUUUCCUUCAGUGUCACAUACACAGUUUCCUAUUUUUGUUGACAAACCACAACAUGCAUCAGGACCUGCUCCGGGGCAACACUAUCCAAACACUUCCAAUAUUCAUUUCCUCACUCCUCAACACAAAGCUACCAUAUGCUCGGCUCCACCUACUGUUCAUGUUUUUGCAGCACCACCCCCACUCGAAGCUCCUACUUUUGAGGUUUAUCCACAAGUUGUGCCUCCCCACUCUGUGAGAGAGCCUAUAUUGAAUAUUUCUGCUGAUCAAUAUUAUGCUAUUGAGCCCACAUUUAAGUCAACUAAUUCUUAUGGCUAUACUCACCCGCCUGAAUUUUCUCUUAACACUGAGAAGCCUGUUAUAACAGAAGAACAAAAGAAAAUGACCAGAAAAUUGAGAAGUUUGGAAUUGGCUAUGAAAGACCUCCAGGGACUUGGGGGUACAAAAGUGUCUCAUAUUAAGAUCUGUGCAUGUUUCCAGGGUUUCAUCUUCCGUUUGGUUUUAAAAUGCCCAAGUUUGAGAAGUAUGAUGGACAUAGCGAUCCUGUAGCACAUUUGAGACGUUAUUGCAACCACCUAGGGGGUACAGGGGGAAGGAAGAAUUACUCGUGGUAUAUUUCGAUGAGAGUCUUUCAGGCCUAGCUUCAGAAUGGUUUGUUGACCAAGACAUCGACAAGAGGAUUAGUUAGGAUGACUAGCUAAUGAAUUUGUGCAACAAUUCCAAUACAAUGUAGAGUUAAUUCCUGAUGAGAAAUCCCUAACUAACAUGAAGAAAAAGAGUACUGAGACUUUCAGAGAGUAUGCGAUUAGAUAGCAUGAACAAGCUGCUAGGGUGAAACCGUCAAUGAAAAAAAGUAAGAUAGUGGAGGUAUUUAUUCAAGCGCAAGAUGAAAUAUAUUAUCAAUAAUUGUUACCUACAUUAGGCAAGCCGUUCAUUGAGGUCCUUAAAAUGGGAAAGAUGAUAGAAGAGGGAAUUAAGACUGGUUGCAUUGUGAUUUUUGCAACAUUGAAAGCGACUACUUAAGUAAUUCAAAAGGGUUCAGGAAGUGUUGGGGAGAAAAAGAAUGAGGAAGAUAAACCUGCUAUUGUAGUUGGACAGCAGGAAAUGUCAAGGUGACUACGUCGUCGUCGCUCUCAGGUUCAAACCCAAGUUCAUGCCCAACCUCCACAUAAUCACUCCCAAAAUCGAUUAUACUCUGCUUCUCCACCAGCAUAUCCAGUAUAUAACGCACAACAAUAUUUUCAACCCCUAUCUUACCCAUAAUGGAACACACCAACUCCUCAGAGUCAUCAUCUAACUCCACAAACAUACCAAAAACCUUCUAAACCUGAUUUUUGAUCCAAGCCAAAUGAUGAAAUGAGACAGAAGUCAAGAGAUAGCUUCACACCAAUUGGAGAGUCAUAUGCCAGUUUAUUUCAGAGAUUGGUACAGGAGGGCAUGAUCACUCCUCUCCUUGGGCACACCCUUAAUUGGUGUUCAAGAAAUUUUGAUCCUAAUACACGAUGUGCGUAUCAUUCUGUUGCUCAGGGUCAUAGUAUUGAAGAUUGUUGACCUUUGAAAAGAGAAAUUGAAAAUAUGAUUCAAUAUGGAUCAGUUAUGGUACAGAACAUUGACAGUAAGGGAAACUCUAGUCAUGCAGAUAUGCAAACCAGUAGCUCAGUUGUCAGGCUGAGCAAUUGAGAUGUCACCCCUCUCCUUACUAGAAAGAGGUCUGGUAGUUUGUUUUAUUUUAUUUUCUGUUAUCCAAACUAUUACAGGGUUGUAGUUUGGGAUCUAUCUUGUUUUGUCCCUUUGUCAUUAUGUUCAAACCCUUCUAUCUUUUAUUUUAAUUAAAUGGAGUGUCCCUUUUUCCUUUGUGUUUUAAAAGUGUUUUUGUUUGUUUUCUUUACAUAGUACAUUUUAUGUUGAUUCUAGUGAUAUGACAUGCUAGCGAAAUUUUUAGCUAGAUUUUAAAAUCCAGUUUAAGCAUGAGCAUGGAAUCAGAGGGUUAAAGUUAGAAAAAGCAUCUGAGAAAAUAGGUAGAGUGUUGAGACAUUUGGUGACCAAGUUGAAGUCUUCUUUAAAAAUUAAGGCAAUUAUUUUGAGAUUACAAGUCUAACUUGGUCAUCAAUUGAAAUACAUGUCUCGAUUAGGUCAAACAGUGGCUGCGUGAUCCUAUAUCAAGACGAAUCGAAAGACAAUCAGCUCCACGAAAUCAUGAGUCCUUCAGCAUGAGGAAUGUACAACGAAAAUGGAGUUGUAUGUUUGACAAGUGUAGAAAAAGAAGUGACAUACAUGCUCAGUUGAAGUUAGUGUUGUUAAAGUGCCACAAAUGAUCUUCAUCUUUCAUUUUCAUAUUGCAUGAUAUGUACUUGCAUUUUUAAGGAUUGAUAUGACGAAGGCAUUUCAUUAUACUAUCCAAACAUCGUGCCAUCCUUUGUUUACCCCAUUUGAGCUUUAGUCCUAUUUUCUUUCAUACCCCUCUUUUGGAAUCAAGAUAGAGUCAACAAAGCUCAAAAUAAAAGUAUCGAGCAAAACAGUAAAGUCAGAAAAGUUUCAAAAAAAAAGAAGAAAAAAAAAAGAAAACAUGUCCAAAAAAAAGUACAGAGGAGUGUCGAGAAAAAUAAAGUCAGAAAGUUUCAAAGAGAAAAAAAGUCAAUAAAAGAGCAAAGAAAAAAAAUUAGAAUCAAGCAAAAGAACAAGUUGCCAGAAUUACGCGUGACUUGAUUCUCCUCUUGCGGGGGUGAGAUGUGUAGGCUGCCCUACUCUGGACUCGGUCCAACGAAAUAAAAUUUAGAAUUUCCCAGUCAAAAGAAACUGGGGCAUAAGCUAAUCCUCAUUGUUUGAGUCGAUUCCAAAAGUUGUAAGUCCUACCCCACUUCAAGUGUCGUUUGGGCCCCAUGCUAUCCUUUCUUUCCAACCCUAUCCAAAAGCUAAGUUACAAGCAAAGAAAGACCUUCAGAUCAAUCUUUAAGGAUGUUAACUAUAAUCAUAUAAGGGAUAUGAUGAUGUAUUUGGGAACUACUUGUCUUCCUCAGCAUAAGAAAGCAAAAGAGAAAUAAAAAUGAGAGUCUUAUUGGUGAAAACCCUCACGGGCACCGUAAGAUGAUGGUAAGUUGAGAGAGAUAAAAAAUGAGAGAGUCUUAUCGGUGAAAACUCUUAUGAUCACCGUAAGACAACUAUGAAUUGACAGAAACGAAGAUAAAAGAGUCUCAUUAGUGAAAAACCCUCACGGACGCCAUAGAAAGAUGGUGAGCUGAGAGAAAAAAAAAAUGAAUGAGGCUUAUUGUCAAAAACCCUUCAAGGCGUCACAAGCUGAAUGAGGUCUCCGAAUGCACUGGGCCCAAGGAAGUAACUCGGUUUCAAGGCUAUUAACUCAACAACAAUUGGUAGAAGUUUGGAUGGAAAGAUCAGGCAGCUUAAUCCAAAAUGCAUGACAUAAUCAUUAGAGGUGACUGUCAUUUCUAGAUAAAUUUUCAUUUCUUUGUUUCAAAUGGGGACAGUCAUUGUAUUUUCUUUUCUUGAGUCAGUUAACCAAAUAAAAAAAUCAUUGCUAUUUUUUCUCUUGUCUUUGAGUCAAGUCCGUAUAAAAAACAAGUGAGAAAAGAUUUCAAAACUGGCUACCAGCUUCUUUAAUUGCACAAAACAAAACAAUAUCCAGCACAUGAAAGAGACAUGAUUAUGAGCCGAAAAAGGACAUGCAGAAAGUUUUGUCAAUAGACAAGUCUGGGAACCCAUGGAAAUACCAAGGCGCAAAGGGUUUAUCUGAGAAACAUGGCAAAGAAGAAAUACUGUGUUUAUUUUAGAGUAACUCUUAAUAACCUGAGUUUGGGUCAAUGAUGCAUGCAAACGGUUGGAAGCAAGGUUAAAUGUGAUGACGGAAAGAGCGUUUGCCGUGAAAGCCAAAGCCACAAACCAGCCACCAUGUUUUUAAACUGACAACCUUUCUUUGCAUGAAACAGGAGCACAUGUUACCGUCAAAUCAAAGAUUUCAAAGCCUAAACAUCAAGGCCCAUAAUUUCUCACUUUUACAAAUGCAGGAAGCAAUGUUACUGCACAGGUUUGAUAGUUAAAUCAUGGUAAAAAUUCAUCAUUUUAUAUCCCUCGGAGACACACUUUCUUAUCCAGGGAUUACAGUUUUCAUUUGUUGGGUGUACACUUCUUAAAUUGAACCUUCACUCCUAGAAGAUGUACCUUUUAGUUGAGUCAUUCCCUUUAACCCCUAGAAGAUGUACCAUUUAGCCGAUUCAUUCCCUUUAAUUCCUAUAAGACGUACCUUUUAAUCGAGUCAUUCCCUUUGAUUCCUAUAAGACGUACCUUUUAGUCGAGUCAUUUCCCUUAAUUCCUAGUAAGACGUACCUUUUAGUCGAGUCAUCACCUUUGAUUCCUAUAAGACGUACCUUUUAGUCGAGUCAUCUCCCUUGAUUCCUAGUAAUAUGUACCUUUUAGUCAAGUCAUCUCUUUUGAUUCCUAUAAGACGUAACUUUUAGUCGAGUCAUUCCCUUUGAUUCCUAUAAGACGUACCUUUUAGUCAAGUCAUUCUCUUUGACCCCUAGAAGACGUAUCUUUUAGUUGAGUCAUUCCCUUUGAUUCCUAUAAGACGUACCUUUAGUCGAUUCAUCUCCCUUUGAUUCCUAUAAGACAUACCUUUUAGUCGAUUCAUUCCCCUUGACCCCUAGAAGACGUACCUUUUAGUCGAUUCAUCCCCCUUGAUUCCUAUAAGGCAUACCUUUUAGUCGAGUUAUUUCCCUAGAUUCCUAUAAGACAUACCUUUUAGUCCAGUAAUAUCCCUUUGAUUCCUAUAAGACGUACCUUUUAGUCGAUUCAUUCCCCUUGACCCUUAGAAGACGUACCUUUUAGUCUAGUCAUCCCCUUUAAUUCCUAUAAGGCAUACCUUUUAGUCGAGUCAUUUCUCUGGAUUCCGAUAAGACAUACCUUUUAGUCGAGUCAUCUACCUUUGAUUCCUGUAAGACUUACCUUUUAGUUGAGUCAUUGCCCUUGACCCCUAGAAGACGUACCUUUUAGUCGAGUCAUUUCCUUUGAUUCCUAUAAGACGUACCUUUUAGUCAAGUCAUUCUUCUUGAUUUCUAGAAAAUGCACUUUCUAGUCGAGUCAUUGCACUUAAUCCUUAUGAGACUCACUUCCUUAUUAGUUAUCAUUUGUCAGGUGACACACUUUUUAAUUUAAACUUCUAUCUCUAGAAGACGCACUUUCUAGUCAGAAUUACUCUCAAGAGAUGCAUUUCUUGGUCUGAGUUUUGAUUCAUUAUAGCAACAUGCAAGUAGGUAUGAUCUAACUUUCUCAAAAAUCUUCUGAUGGUAAACCACUACCAGAAAUUCGCUAUUUUUCGACUAAAAAUGUCCGACUGAAAAAAGUAGUCGAAAAUUUCCAACUACUUCAGUCGAAAAUAUUAUUUUUUUAUUUUUAUUUUUUCAAAAUAUUUUUUCAAUAAUUUUUGUGAAAAAAAUAGUUGGAAUCUUUGGUGAAAAAUUCUAGGAAAUAUAAAUUCCGACUACAGCAGUCAGAAAUAGUAAUAAAUUAAUUAAUUAAUAAUUAAUUUAAUAUACAUCCGACUACUGUAGGCAGAAAUAUUAAAUAAAUAUAAUUCUAAAUAUCUAAUCAGUCCCUUAUAUGAAAAUUAAAUAAUUAUUUAAAUAAAUUAUUAAAUUUAUAUUUACGACUACUGCAGUCGAAAAUACUAAUAACUAAAUAAAAU